AGUACCUGCGCUGAUCUUCUCUGAAGAUAAAGAAUGUGGCACUGCAUAAUCCAGUGAGUGGCACAGCCCAUUUCUGCCAAGAGACCUGGCAGCAUGGAGCCAUGGCAGCAUGGACAACAUAGGCAGAGAUGGAGCAACUUCUCAGUUCCCACUUCACCUGUGUGUCUAAAAUUCCAGCUUGUGUGAAAGGCUUCAGGGGAUCAGAAGAUGUCAUGUUGAGGAGAAAUUUGCUGUUUGGUCUCUGUGAAGCAAUAAGCACACUAAAACACUUUGAGUGCUUACUGGAAGAGGGAAAGAGGGGUGCAUCUGCCUAACAUGAAAAAACAAUCUUUGAGGUUUCAGUGAUGAGAAUGCUGGAAUAAUAACUUCAUGGAAGCAGUGAGAGUGGAGCCAGCACAGGUGUGUGUGACAGGGAAAGGGGGUGUGCCCUACAACUGUGACAUCUGUGCUGGAGCUGCCCUGAAAAUCUGCAAGGAAGCCUGAAAGCAGAGCCUAUUCCCUGCAAUGGAGGGGUUCAGUGUCCUUUUCCAAUGUCCAUCUAUACACAUCCAAAGGUAUUCCUAACACUUGUUUGAAGAGGAAGGAAGAAGGAAGCCUGGCAGCUUUCUGGGGUUACUAGGAAUGUGUAAUGGAAAGGCUGAGCAGUUGUGGAAGAUUUUGCCAGGCAGCAUUUCUUUCCUACUGAGAUAAAGAACGUGCAGCAAAGCUGAAUUGUGUCUCUACUCUCUUGUCUUCCUGCCCAGUGUGUGUGGCAGCAGCAGUGACAGUGUGGUUCUAAACUGUCCCUUUUGUGGCAGGGGUGACUGAAGCAGCAUCUCUCUGCCACUCUUUCCCCAUAUAUAGCUUCUUGCACUACUUCCUAUUUUAUCUACCCACUGUUUCAUCCAGUUUCAUCCAGAAAUGGCUUUUUGGUGAAAUAAAGGAAUCAAAAACAUUA